AUUGAACGCUGGCGGCAUGCUUUACACAUGCAAGUCGAACGGCAGCACGGGUGCUUGCACCUGGUGGCGAGUGGCGAACGGGUGAGUAAUGUAUCGGAACGUACCCGGCAAUGGGGGAUAACGUAGCGAAAGUUACGCUAAUACCGCAUAUGCCCUGAGGGGGAAAGUGGGGGAUCGCAAGACCUCACGUUGUCGGAGCGGCCGAUAUCAGAUUAGCUAGUUGGUGGGGUAAAGGCCUACCAAGGCGACGAUCUGUAGCUGGUCUGAGAGGACGACCAGCCACACUGGGACUGAGACACGGCCCAGACUCCUACGGGAGGCAGCAGUGGGGAAUUUUGGACCAUGGGGGCAACCCUGAUCCAGCCAUGCCGCGUGAGUGAAGAAGGCCUUCGGGUUGUAAAGCUCUUUCGGGCAGAAAGAAAUCGCACUUGAUAAUACCUUGUGUGGAUGACGGUACUGUAAGAAGAAGCACCGGCUAACUACGUGCCAGCCGCCGCGGUAA
rnacentral:rRNA from 1 species